rnacentral:lncRNA from 1 species
GAAUGAGAGGUGACGCUCUGUCUUUCUCUCUGUUUCAAAGGUAUAUCACUCAAUUCUCACAGUAAACUGAUAAUGUAGCUACCAUUAUCAUUCCCAGUGAAAAACUGAGGCACGUGGAUUUUAACUUGUCUUAUAAUAAGAGAGAGAGAGAGAUUCUUCUUACAUUGAGGUGUGGAGGUGGUAGUUAAGGAGACAAGAGCACCAUUUAAGUCAAUCUCCCAACCUCACAAGCUUAUCUCAGGCUGGUUUGGCAGGUGUAUAACAUUGUAAUAUCCAUGCCGUCUUUGGGUAAUCGGUGAGAAGCAUAGGGGUAUUCUUAGAGGGCGAAGGAAAAGCUUUUGAAGGAGUUGCCCUACCUCAGACAGGUCACCGCUAGAGGACCAGGAGGAGGAAGUGGAGUGGGCUUCUCACCCUCUGCAUUAAGGGAUGUAGCAAAAACCAUGGAGCAAGGACACAGCAUCAGGAUGUUAUAAAUGAGAGAUCCUAUCACCUGCUAAUGCAACUUGAUGGUUUCUUGGGCUUUUUAUUUUAGUUUGAAGUGGCUGCACCUGGGGCAGUGUAAUGUUUCAAUUCUCCUACAUUUCUCUUAGUUUCUGCGUAGAAAUGCUAGAAGCAUGUCUGGUUGAUGGAAUUCCUCUAAUGUCAGAAUACGAGACAGAUGGAAGAUUAGAUUCAAGAAAAGAAAAAAAAAAAAGCCACGUCCAUGUUCUCAGGUCUCUGCAGAUUGAGCAAGUGCUGAAGCUGGUGCUCCUAGCUCCACCUUGAGCUUUGCAAUCACCUUUCAAAAAGAAGGAAGAAAGUAAGAGGAAGAAGAGGAAGAGGGGAACAUGUUUAGUCUCCAUAAUGUAAAAAGCUACACAACUCACCCAGGAAUUGCAAAAUUGCAAAGGACGAGGGAUCAAUCAUUUUGAAAGUCUUUAUUAGGGAAGUUCUUUACUCAGUCUUUAAGUCUAGUGAUUAAAAGGGGCUUUCCCCCCACCUUCUUCUAGAGAAUACUUCAGAAGCCAGUCUGAAAAAAAAUGAACACAUGUUUUUCAUGAGCUUUCUAAAUCAUGUGGUAGGUGAAGUGACCCAUUUGCCCUUAUUGUGAGGUGCUGGCCUUAAUUUACAACUGGGGUGAAGGGAGAGAAGGAAAGCACAAUGAAGUAGUGGCCCAUUACUUAUGCUACCAAGCCCUGUAAUCAGAAGAAAUCAUGGAAACUGAGGAUGGAGAUGUAAGGUAUUUCUAAUAAAUGAGAACAGUUGCUUUGACGUGACACAGGAAGUGGGGACACCCUAUGGCUUUUGCUUUUUGGUGAGGAAGAUUGGCCCUGAGCUAACAUCUAUUUCCAGUGCUCCUCUAUUUUGUAUGUGGAAUGCCACCACAGCAUGGCUUGAUGAGCAGUGCAUAGGUCCAUGCCUGGGAUCUGAAUCUGCGAACCCUGGACCACUGAAAUGGAGCACACAAAAUUAACCACCGUGCCACUAGGCCAGCCCCUAAACUAUAAUUUUUUAACAGGUGUGCAAAAUGUUCAGUUUUAUGUUUUAGAUGUAGUGAUAAUUCAAAAAUAGGAAAAAGCUCAGCAUUUAUUUUGUCUAAAGUCAAUGAAAGAAUACACUUGAGAGUAUCACAAUGAUUUGUUGGUGAAAUCCUCCUACUAUGGGUAAAUUUCAACCCAAUUAGACAAUGUUUCACUUCAGAUGAAUUUGAUUGUUAUAAAGUUCCUUUUAUGGUGAGCUGAACUUUUGCCUUUUUGUAAUUUUUGUUCAUUUCUUGUUGGGUAGAUACACAGGACAAAUCUAGUCCCUUUAUAUCUUGCAGUCCCCCAGUCUCUGAAGAUACACGACAUUCCUCUUGAAUUGUAUCUAAGGUUCAAGGAUGUAGGUGCCACUGGGGAUUUUUUUUUUGUAAUAUAUCAGGCUGCUGACAAACUAGAAGUAUAUUUGUAUCUGCUGCUAAUACAUGGAAUAUUUCACAUUUCUACCUAGGAUUUUGAGGUUAAUGAUCAAGUGUCCUGGCCCUUUUCAUGAUGCUCUAAAACUGGGGACAUGAUUUAACUGAUUUAUGGUACAAGAAGUUAAACACUUAUAUUUGAGAAAAUGUUUAAAAUAUUUUGUAUUUUAGGAACAUAGAAUAACCUUUGUCUAGGGAUUCAGUUGUCAUGUUCAUACUAAUUUAUGCAAAUAAAAUCAGAGUUUCAAUAGCCACUGUGCCUCUAAAGGUUAUAUUCUUUUAAUUAGAAUCAAGCAAUUAAUUCUAAAUGUUUCCCCAUAUUUUUCUGGAAGCAUUCUCCUUCUUUACCAAAGCUCUUAUAUUUCUUCCCAUUCUAUUUUUUAGCAUGUAAAAUAAUGAAAAUUUAUGCUUUGCUUCAUCCUGGAAUUAAUUGCCCCUCUUUUUAUCAAGUAUCAAUCCAAUGUUUCUCUUCAGGAUUUUAUGGCUUUCUGUGCAUGUCUACUUGUGAUAUGUAAUGUUAGAACAAAGUGAGUGUUCCUUAUCAUUUUGACACCUUAAAUCUAUGCUGCUGAGUUAUGCGACUAGGAAAUUAGUAAUAACCAAGUCUUAUUCUAACAUAAAUUUAUAUUUUUAAAG